rnacentral:rRNA from 1 species
GAAAGCUGGCGUCUUCGACGUCCGCGUUGUAAUUUGUAGAGGAUGCUUCGGCGAAGACUCCUGCCUAAGUCCCCUGGAACGGGGCGUCAUAGAGGGUGAGAAUCCCGUAUGUGGCGGGCAGUCUAAGCCAUGUGAAGCUCCUUCGACGAGUCGAGUUGUUUGGGAAUGCAGCUCUAAAUGGGAGGUAAAUUUCUUCUAAAGCUAAAUAUUGGCCAGAGACCGAUAGCGCACAAGUAGAGUGAUCGAAAGAUGAAAAGCACUUUGGAAAGAGAGUUAAAAAGUACGUGAAAUUGUUGAAAGGGAAGCGCUUGCAACCAGACUCGCUCGUAGUUGCUCAGCCGGCCUCUUGGCCGGUGUACUCUUCUACGAUCGGGCCAGCAUCAGUUCGGGCGGCAGGAUAAAGGUGUCGGGAAUGUAGCACCCUUCGGGGUGUGUUAUAGCCCGGCGCGGAAUGCUGCCAGCCUGGACUGAG